rnacentral:rRNA from 1 species
UACGUAGGGGGCAAGCGUUGUCCGGAAUCAUUGGGCGUAAAGCGCACGUAGGCGGCCCUGUAAGUCCGUUGUGAAAGUCAAAGGCUCAACCUUUGAAAGCCGAUGGAUACUGCAGGGCUCGAGUUCGGAAGAGGCGAGUGGAAUUCCUGGUGGUAGCGGUGGAAUGCGCAGAUAUCAGGAGGAACACCAAUGGCGAAGGCAGCUCACUGGGACGGUAUUGACGCUGAGACGCGAAAGCGUGGGGAGCAAACAGG